AAAUAGAAUCCACUCGGACCGGACGAAGAUUGGCCCUCGAGUGCAAAGGCAGGAGGGAGCUUGACUGCAAGACUCACUCGUCGAGCAGGGACGGAAGUCGGCCUCAGG
rnacentral:rRNA from 1 species